CCUACGGGAGGCAGCAGUGGGGAAUAUUGGACAAUGGGGGAAACCCUGAUGCAGCGACGCCGCGUGAGUGAAGAAGUAUUUCGGUAUGUAAAGCUCUAUCAGCAGGGAAGAAAAUGACGGUACCUGCUUAAGAAGCCCCGGCUAACUACGUGACAGCAGCCGCGGUAGUACGUCGGGGGCAAGCGUUAUCCGGAUUUACUGGGGGUAAUGGGAGCGUAGGCGGGAGCACAAGCCUGGAGUGAAAGGCAGGGGCUUAACCCCGGAACUGCUUUGGAAACUGGGCAGGUAGAGUGCAGGAGAGGUAAGUGGAAUUCCUAGUGUAGCGGUGAAAUGCGUAGAUAUUAGGAGGAACACCAGUGGCGAAGGCGGCUUACUGGACUGUAACUGACGUUGAGGCUCGAAAGCGUGGGGAGCAAACAGGAUUAGAUACCCGUGUAGUC
rnacentral:rRNA from 1 species